rnacentral:rRNA from 1 species
AGACCCGAAACCCGGUGAUCUAGCCAUGGGCAGGUUGAAGGUUGGGUAACACUAACUGGAGGACCGAACCGACUAAUGUUGAAAAAUUAGCGGAUGACCUGUGGCUGGGGGUGAAAGGCCAAUCAAACCGGGAGAUAGCUGGUUCUCCCCGAAAGCUAUUUAGGUAGCGCCUCGUGAAUUCAUCUCCGGGGGUAGAGCACUGUUUCGGCUAGGGGGCCAUCCCGGCUUACCAACCCGAUGCAAACUGCGAAUACCGGAGAAUGUUAUCACGGGAGACACACGGCGGGUGCUAACGUCCGUCGUGAAGAGGGAAACAACCCAGACCGCCAGCUAAGGUCCCAAAGUCAUGGUUAAGUGGGAAACGAUGUGGGAAGGCCCAGACAGCCAGGAUGUUGGCUUAGAAGCAGCCAUCAUUUAAAGAAAGCGUAAUAGCUCACUGGUCGAGUCGGCCUGCGCGGAAGAUGUAACGGGGCUAAACCAUGCACCGAAGCUGCGGCAGCGACGCUGAUGCGUUGUUGGGUAGGGGAGCGUUCUGUAAGCCUGCGAAG